rnacentral:rRNA from 1 species
UGGGGGAUAUUGCACAAGUGGGGGGGAACCCUGAUGCAGCGACGCCGCGUGGGUGAAGAAGCGCCUCGGCGCGUAAAGCCCUGUCAGCAGGGAAGAAAAUGACGGUACCUGAAGAAGAAGCCCCGGCUAACUACGUGCC